CGGGAUCCCCCAGAGAUGGGGGAGUGCCCUUCGGGGAACCGAGAGACAGGUGCUGCAUGGCUGUCGUCAGCUCGUGUCGUGAGAUGUCGGGUUAAGUCCCUUAACGAGCGAAACCCUUGUCCUUAGUUACCAGCACGUCAUGGUGGGGACUCUAAGGAGACUGCCGGUGUUAAAUCGGAGGAAGGUGGGGAUGACGUCAAGUCCUCAUGGCCUUUAUGACUAGGGCUGCACACGUCCUACAAUGGCGCACACAAAGCGACGCAAACUCGCAAGAGCCAGCAAAUCGCAAAAAUUGCGCCCCAGUUCGGAUUGCAGGCUGCAACCCGCCUGCAUGAAGCCGGAAUCGCUAGUAAUCGCGGGUCAGCAUACCGCGGUGAAUGUGUUCCUGAGCCUUGCACUCACCGCCCGUC
rnacentral:rRNA from 1 species